AGUGUGUUGGCAGAAUAGUGCAAUUGAUUUAGGAUCAAUUUAUGGUGACCGGCCACACACUA
rnacentral:tRNA from 1 species